GCAAGAGUUCCUUUUUUGGAACUUGGAAUUGGGAAAGGAAGAUCCGGUUCGUAGAGGAAAGGUGAAAAAAGUGAAACAUGUGACAGAAAAAUAGUAAGCAUGGACGUGAAAGAAGCAGAGGGAGACUUGCUUACCCAAGAACACGCAAAAAAACUUAAAAAUAAAGGGAAAGAACCCACAGAAAGAAAACGGAGAAACGAAGGAAGGAGUGGAGAAAGCAGAGACCGACGAGCAACCCCCGGAGAUGCAUUUUCCACCAACAUUCAGCGUGUCAGAGAUCAAAAAUAAACAACGAAGGCAUUUCAUGUUUUUGAAAUUUAAACAGUAAAAACGAAAGGAAAAGUUAGCAUUGAAGAAGGAAAGGAAAAAGACGAGACAAGGUUGUAACACUACAAAAUGUGGAAAAGUCCACGGGGGGUGAAUACUUAUGCAAGGCACUGUAUAUGUAUAUGUAAAGGCACCCCCCAAAAAAGUUCCAAAGACAGUUGAAAACCAGAAGGUUUAUGAUGAGACGACUGUAGACCCCCAGGAUGAAGAGUUUCAGCGAAAAGGCAAGGAACCCACAGAGCAUGUGCCUGAGGUGAUCCUCAAUAACCACUACAUGUCUGGGCCAAUCCAUCGGAAUGUUUGCUUCCCUCUUCCCUCAUGACCCCAAUUUUUUUGGACGGCAGGUAGAUCUUUGUAAUUGGAAAACAAAGAGAUUACAUCUUUUUUAGAUACCACAGAUACAUCUUUAAGAAUGACAAGAGUGGGAAUCCAGGAGUUGGGACCGUGAUUCACCUUGAAACUCCGAUCUCUUCAGAAAGGAACGUUUGACUCCUAAUUUGGAGUGUAUGAAUGGGUUCAUAAGCGCCAUGAGAUGGACAGCUGCAGAAGAAAUUUCCACUUGUAAAAAGAAAGAAAGUGGAAACAAACAAAGAACCCAACUGGCUAGAACUUGACAAUAAAGCAACUACAGCUUCAGUUUUUAAAUGUGUAUGUGUAUCUUGUAAUUACGUUGUUUUUUCAUGUACUAUACUAUGAGUGAUAUAGACCUGUAACAAUGCUCACUUUAGGAUAUGCUUUUGAGAUAUGAACCAUUGCCUUUGUUUCUGUUAUCUCAUCACAGAAGGCCAAAGACUGGGGGUACAAUGGUCACUCUGGUCACAACUGGACGACUUGGAUUAUGCAGGUGAUAUUGCUCUAAUAUCACACACACACCAACAAAUGCAGUGGAAAGUCACUGAGUUGGCAAGAACAGCAGCCAAAACGGGGCUCGCCAUUAACAAAGCCAAAACUAAGGUGAUGCAUAUCAGUAAUUUAAAAGAAGACUGUAUCGUUCUGGAUGGGGAGAAGCUACAAGAGGUAAGCUCCUUUACCUAGCUGGUAAGUGUCAUAGGGAAGGAUGGAGGAGCAGACAAAGACAUCCAAAUGAGAAUAGGAAAAGCAAGAGCAGCAUUUAUCAUGCUUAAGCCUAUCUGGAACUCAAAAAACAUUUCAGCUAAAACAAAGCUCUGCAUUUUAAUACUAAUGUAAAAUCAGUGCUGUUGUAUGGAGCAGAAACAUGGCGGACAACAAAGGCAUCAAAAAACAGACUGCAAGCUUUCAUAAAUAAAUGCCUCAGAACCAUCUUAGGAAUUGGCCAAACACCAUCAGGAACAAAGAUCUCUGGGGAAAGAACACAAGUCAUAGAAAGACAAAUCAAAAGAAGUGGUGCUGGAUUGGACAUACAUGCAGAAAACCAACAAUAAACAUAACCAGACAGUCACUAACUUGGAACCCACAAGGGAAAAGAAAACCCGGAAGACCAAGAAACAGCUGGAGGAGGUCCACAGAGGCAGAACUGAAGGAACUGGAGAAACUAGCCCAAAACAGAGCCACAUAAGACAGAGCCACAUAGAGGAUCAAAGUGGAUGACCUAUGCUCCCUAUGGAGCAAAAAGGGUUUAACCUAACCCUGUUAUCUCAUCAGUUGCUUGUGGAGUGAACAAAACCUAAAAUGGGUUUUGAGUAGCUGCUGAUCCCACACAACCACAUACUUCUUCCCUUCCCUAUUUUGACCAGCCUGUGCUAAUGUGAGGGAACAUAUGGACACAUUGGGGUGUAGCAAAUCUCCAGAGUGAUUUUGCAGUUGGAAAUAAAUAACUGGUGGUGUAUGAACAGAUUCAGAUCGAUUUAGUUAAUCUUCUAAAAACAGCUUGACUUGAAACGAUUUUUAAUUGUGUUGGUCUUCACUUCCAGAGGCAUUAUCACCCAUUUCAUUUAAAUAUUGCCAGUUCUUAAUAUAAUGAUCCAGCUCUGCUGGUGCGUAUACUGAACUGACAGAAAGCAAAGUAUUGUGCUACAAGAUACAGUAAAGCCAUACAUGUUUGUGGCCAAAGUAUUUGAAGAAUCACCCAUAUAACCUAUUUUGCUCCAGAAAUGUUAGCGACCUGUUACAAUAUACGAAGUAUGUAUUGUUAGUGGAAUUUGAUAUUCGUGCCAAAAAUGUUUGCGGGUUUUUUUUUU